rnacentral:misc_RNA from 1 species
AUUAAAGAAUGCCCGAAAAUUCUUAAGUAAGGGCGACAAAGUAAAAGCAUCUGUGCGUUUCCGCGGGCGUGCGAUUACGCAUAAAGAUCUCGGCCGGGAAGUUCUUGACCGUCUGGCUGAAGAAACAAACGAUGUUGCGACAAUUGAAUCCAAACCAAAAAUGGAAGGCCGCAAUAUGUUUAUGAUGCUUGCGCCCGUUAAGGAGAAAUAGCUUUAGACUACACAAGGAGGAUACCCAUAUGCCUAAAAUGAAAAGCCAUAAAGGUUCACAAAAACGUUUC